rnacentral:rRNA from 1 species
AUGCGUCUGCUUUGGUUUGUGAGCGGCUCUGGGUUCGGCGAAGUGUCCGCUCUGUCAAUUGGACCUGUAGGAGAUUGGUGGUGUUCGGCUACUGGAUUACUGCAGUUUGCACCUGUCUGCUCACCAAAGCUAUCUCUCCUCUAUGCCGAUUAUACUUGGAAAUGUAGUUGGCAUAGUUUGUGUGUGUCUUGUCUGCAGUUUGCAAACUAUGCCAACUAUGGUGAAACCUCUUGCAGUUUGCAGUUAUCUGCUCACAGAUUCCUGGAAAGCUACAUUGGUCUGAUUGAUCGAAUCGAGCUUGUUGUCGAUGCCAAAGGAAAAGGUGCUUUAGAAAGUUCAGGCACAAAUUGUGCUGAAUUUCUGGUGCAGGCAGGGACAGUUGGGGCCAAACACCUCGUUGUUCUAGCACGUCAAUGCUUGAUUUAUCUUCUGCACACUGGAUGGUGGACUUCACAUGCUCAAAGCGACUAG